rnacentral:rRNA from 1 species
UACGUAGGGCGCAAGCGUUAUCCGGAUUUACUGGGCGUAAAGAGCGCGCAGGCGGUCGGAUAAGUCGAAUGUGAAAGCCCCCGGCUCAACUGGGGAGGGUCAUUCGAUACUGUUCGACUCGAAGGCAGGAGAGGGAAGUGGAAUUCCCGGUGUAGUGGUGAAAUGCGUAGAUAUCGGGAGGAACACCAGUGGCGAAGGCGACUUCCUGGCCUGUUCUUGACGCUGAGGCGCGAAAGCUAGGGGAGCAAACGGG